rnacentral:SRP_RNA from 1 species
UCCAUGGGUCGUGGUGGCACGUGCCUAUAGUCCCAGCUACUCCGGAGGCUGAGGCUGGAGGAUCGCUUGAGUCCAGGAGUUCUGGGCUGCAGUGCGCUAUACUGAUUGGGUGUCCACACUAAGUCUGGCAUCAAUAUGGUGACCUCCCGGGAGCGGGGAACCACCAGGUUGCCUAAGGAGGGGUGAACCGGCCCAGGUCAGAAACGGAGCAGGUCAAAACUCCCGUGCUGAUCAGUAGUGGGAUCACACCUGUGAAUAGCCACUGCACUCCAGCCUGGGCAACAUAGAAAGACCCUGUCUCU